rnacentral:rRNA from 1 species
UACGAAGGUGGCUAGCGUUGCUCGGAAUCACUGGGCGUAAAGGGUGCGUAGGCGGGUCUUUAAGUCAGGGGGGAAAUCCUGGAGCUCAACUCCAGAACUGCCUUUGAUACUGAGGAUCUUGAGUUCGGGAGAGGUGAGUGGAACUGCGAGUGUAGAGGUGAAAUUCGUAGAUAUUCGCAAGAACACCAGUGGCGAAGGCGGCUCACUGGCCCGAUACUGACGCUGAGGCACGAAAGCCAGGGGAGCGAACGGG